GGGGCAGAGAGUCCAGACCUGUCCUCCUUUGCUUGUCACCUCCUCAGGCCAGACACCAGCCUUUGAGCCACCUGAAGUCAUGAAGCGCUUUUUGCUCUCUUUGGCUGUGCUGCUGCUCUUGUCCUGGGUCCUUCCAGGUAACCUAGACCUCUUCGGGGGAAGGUCAGGGGUGGGUCUCAGCUGGGGACCCCCAGCGCCUGGGAGGACGGGCUGGUGGGCGGCAGAGCGGAACACCGCUCAUCCGGGGAAGAGAGAGGAGCCCCCAGAUCCUGGGAGAGACCCUGCCCCACCACUUACCAGCUCUGUGACGUCCCCGGGGAACUACCUGGCCCCUCCGAGUUGCAAUGUCUCGUUCUUCCGUUUAGAAUAAAUCAGGUUCGAGAGAUCUACAUGGAACACAAAGAAAUUUUAUGCAACCGAUGUAGCUUUUUUGUUUAUUUUUGAUUUUUUAAUGUUUAUUGCUGAGAGAGAGAGACAGAGAGAUGGGGCACGAGCAGGGGAGGAGCAGAGAGAGGGGGAGACACAGAACCCGAAGCGGGCUCCAGGCUCCCAGCUGUCAGCACAGAGCCCGACACGGUGCUCGAACCCACAAGCCGCGAGGUCAUGACCUGAGCCGAAGUCGGACACUUAACCAACUGAGCGGCCCAGGCGCCCCCGAACGUAGCUUCUUUAUUUUCGAAACCCACGUAAGAGGAGGGCUGGCGCUCAGCCAGUCUCCUUUUCCCGUGGCAGGUGCCAGUUCUUAGGCACCGAAUGUCACCUGCCGAUUUUUCUGCCGGCUCCCCCUGACCUCCACUCCUCGGUCAGCUCCAGGGGCCAAGGGCAGGAGGUCAGGUGUGGGAGGAGGAGUGGGGGAAGGCUGGGAAAGCAGGAAGGAGGCAAGGCAAUAGUGACCUCUUCUCACACGAGUCCCUGAAAUCACUUGGCUUUUGCCCCACUUACAGCUGCCCGAAGAGAGACAGAAUCUCCUAACUCCCAUCGCCUGUCUGUGCCAGGCCCUGUACUGGAGCCUUGGAAAGGUUUUAAGUAGAGAAGAGCCCAUGUCAAACUUGCCCAGCCCAAGGUGCUAGGGCGGUCCCCUCUUUGUGAUCUGACAGAAGCUUCUACCCCUGUCACCCUCGGCGUCUCUAACUUUCUAUUUAAUCAUGUUCAUUACUAGUCCUGUGUCGAUAAAUUUGGUUAAUUUUGGAGAGAGAGAGACAGAGACAGAGAGUGGGGCUCGAACUCACGAACCAAAGGAGGGAUCAUGACCCGAGCCGAAGUCGAACGCUUAACCGACUGAGCCACACAUAUCUUCCUUUCUUUUUAAACACAGCCUCUUUUUCACUCUGUAUUUCUCUUAUGCCAUUAUCUGCUAAUUUACUUGCUCAUGUAUUCCUUCUAGUUUAGUCUUUACUAAUAAAGCGAUGUUUUUAAAUGUACAAUUCUUGGGGCGCCUGGGUGGCUCAGUCGGUUGAGCGUCCGACUUCGGCUCAGGUCAUGAUCUCGCGGUCUGUGAGUUCGAGCCCCGUGUCAGGCUCUGUGCUGCCAGCUCAGAGCCUGGAGCCUGCUUCGGAUUCUGUGUCUCCCUCUCUCUCUGCCCCUCCCCCGCUCAUGCUCUGUCUCAGAAAUAAACAUUAAAAAAAAUUUUUUUUUUAAUGUACAAUUCUUUCCGAGAUACCAUCGUGUCAUAUCUGAAGUUUUUUUCAUGCUAAUGGCUUUUAUACGCUCUUCAUUUGAUCCCCACCACAACUGUCUGAGGCAGGUUCUGUAUCUUCUUUUCAGAAAAGAGGAAAUCGGUGCUCCGAGAAAGGAAGUAACCUGCUUGAGUUCUUCUAGUUGGCUGCGGUAUAGACAGAUUUCAAAACCAGGUGGAUGGGUUCCGAGAGUCCGUGUUCCUAAGUGUUAUGACCGGACCCCACUGACCCUUAAUUAUUAUGACCCGCUGUACCCAUGAGACGGAACAUUCAGGAAGAGCAGUGAGUGGCAUGAGUGUCCAGAAAGGAUGUGAGACUUUACCACCGCCCUAUACAUCGUGGGAGGUGACUCCAUGUUCUAGGGUCUUCUGCGUGGCUAUUAAUUAGCCCUCUCAAGCCAGGACCUAGCGCCCCUCAGGACUGAUGUCGGCUUCUCUCCCUUUCCGCCCUUUGUAUCAGGCAGCACUGAAAAAUGCUGGAAUCUUCGUGGCUCCUGCCGUGAGAAAUGCAUCAAGAAUGAAAAGAUUUACGUUUUCUGCAUGAGUGGUAAACUGUGCUGCGUGAAGCCCAAGUUUCAGCCAAAGUCGUUACAGACGUGAGUUAGUGCUCUGAGCCCGAGGGCACAGAAAUGAAGAGAACCCUGCCCCGAGUCUGACCUCAGCAGAUUCCUGCGCUUGAUUAAAA
rnacentral:lncRNA from 1 species